rnacentral:rRNA from 1 species
UUGAACGCUGGCGGCAGGCCUAACACAUGCAAGUCGAGCGGAUGAAGGGAGCUUGCUCCUGGAUUCAGCGGCGGACGGGUGAGUAAUGCCUAGGAAGCUGCCUGGUAGUGGGGGAUAACGUCCGGAAACGGGCGCUAAUACCGCAUACGUCCGGAGGGAGAAAGUGGGGGAUCUUCGGACCUCACGCUAUCAGAUGAGCCUAGGUCGGAUUAGCUAGUUGGUGGGGUAAAGGCCUACCAAGGCGACGAUCCGUAACUGGUCUGAGAGGAUGAGCAGUCACACGGGAACUGAGACACGGUCCAGACUCCUACGGGAGGCCGCAGUGGGGAAUAUUGGACAAUGGGCGAAAGCCUGAUACAGCCAUGCCGCGUGUGUGAAGAAGGUCUUCGGAUUGUAAAGCACUUUAAGUUGGGAGGAAGGGCAGUAAGUUAAUACCUUGCUGUUUUGACGUUACCAACAGAAUAAGCACCGGCUAACUUCGUG